rnacentral:SRP_RNA from 1 species
CUCCGGCCUCUGUGCAAUUUUAACUGAACGAACCCCGCCAGGAUCGGAAGAUAGCAACGGUAGUCCAGUUCGAAUGUGCCGCAGUAGUCACCGGGGCCU